UUUGUGUCUGACUUAUCUCACUUAACAGAGCAUCCUCUAGAUCCAUAUACGUUGUCACAAACUUCCUUCUUUUAGUGGCUAACACUCCAUUUUAUACAUACCUACCAUAUUUUCUUUAUCCAUUCAUCCAUCACUGGACACCUAGGUUGUCAUGUCUCGACUACUGUAAAUAGUGCUGCAGUGAACAUGGGGGUGCAAGCAUCUUUUUGGGAUACUGUUUUUGUUUUCCUCAGAUAAAUACCCAGUGUGGGUCUGCUGAGUCAUAGGGUAGUCCUGUUUUUAACUUUUUUGAAAACCCUCCCUACUGUUUCCCACAGGUGCUGCACCAGUUUACAUUUCCACCAACAGUGCAUGAAGUUCCCUUUUCUCCACGUCCUCACCAAUCCUUGUUAUGUCUUGUCUAUUUGAUGAGGGCCAUUAGACAGGUGUGAGGUGAUACCUCAUUGUGGUUUUCAUUUGCGUUUCCCUGAUGAUUAGGUCCUGUGCUGUGGAACAUCUUUUCAUAUGCCUUCCGUAUGUCUUUAGAAAAUGCUUAUUCAGAUCCUCUGCCCACUAAUGUAUGUUUUCUCUCUAAUCACGUAUGUUUCCUUUCCAUUUUGCGGAUGAUUUUGUCUGCUGUGCAGAAGCAUUUUGGUUUGAUGUGGUCCCACUCGGUUAUUUUUGUUUUUGCUGCCUGUUCUUUUGGUGUCCAAUCCAAAAAUUCAUCAUCAAGACUGAUACCAAGUAGCUACCACCUGCAUUUUCUCCUAGGCGUUUUCUGGUUUCAUGUCUUAUAUUCAAGUCUUCAGUCGAUUUUGAUUUAAUUUUUGUAUGUGGUAUAAGAUAGUAGUCAUUGGAAUGUUGAUAGGGAAUGCCUUAAAUCUAUAGUUUGCUUUAGGUAGUGUGGACAUUUAACUGUAUUAUCAGCAUAGCACCCUGGAGUUACGCUUAGUUAUCAGUUCGUUGUCUCUGGUUUUCACCAGUCUCUGGACUUGGAACACUGCCCAGCAGCAGGAAGAACCCAAUAAAUAACUGUUGGGUGAAUGAAUGAGCUGAUGACUCAAGGAAAGAAUACGGCUCCCAGAAGUAGAAAUAAAGGUGUGAAUUGUAUUGCCAGGUGGAUGAUAUUUACACUCUCACGGUGUUUCCAAGGCUUUUUCAGGUUUAAUCCCUACUGAGCAGAGGGUGAGGCUGUGACCCCAGCUCUGCCACCAGUGUGUUGCCCCUGGGGGGCAGCCAGGCCUUCCACUUUGAUGCUGCCGGUCUCUUGAAGCCUCGGCUGCUGUCACAGGUGCCGUGCCUCCUGGGGCCUGGCUGCUGAGCUGGGGGGCACCUAAGAGCCACGGCAUGUGCCUGCUGCUUGCUGCAACUCCCUGUGAUCUGGCACCUCGGCGAGUCCUUUGAUGUUUCAUUCACGAGAAGAUGCGGUCCUUCCACAAGACAGGCAACUUCGUCACGCUCAAGGUGGACUUGCAAACAGCUAGAGGCAGCUGCUGACACCUCCCGACAUGGCACAGAGGAAACUGAGCCAGCGCUGUUUCUCUCCAGCCCCUGCUGUCUCUCCCAAGCACCACCUGCUUGUGCGAAGAGCUCCAUCUGCAGGCUGAGGCAUCUGCAGGCUGAGGCAGGAUGGACUCCAGCUGCGGUGCUGAGUGAAUGGGCUAUUCCCCAGCAGUGAGAGAUCAUAGGAGGAGCCCAGUGGAAACCAACCCAACCAGCAGAAAUGGAUAUGUGAUGGCUGGAGCUGAGGCAGCUGUUCUGUAGCCAAGCAGCAAUGGGCAUAGUAUGAGACUAAAGGAACUGCCAUUACCAUUUAUCACUGAACCCCUGAAACAAAGCUUCCGCUUAUACUUGCCGUGACAACGUGCACCUGUGCUUGAAAAUUGUGUAAAUGUCUGAGCUGAAGGGUUUCAUCCACAUCCAGGGCCACGCCCUGCCCACCAAGUCCAGAGGCUGAGGCCGAGAGGGGACCCCAAGGCCACCAGGAGACACGGAUUCACACUCACUGGUGGCUGAUUUAGGAAGGUGAACUAUUCUGAGUGCCAGAUGUUUCCAGGGAAAAUGCAAAAUGACAGCACCUGGACAGACAGCUCGGCUGUAUUGUAUCCUCUUGCACAUGCAUCUGACCUGUGAGCCAGCCAUUCUGCUCCCUUUUAUCCAACAGAAAUGCAACAUCUGUCCCCUCAAAUUCUAAUAAAGUUCAUAGCAGCUUUGUUCAUAAUUAGCAAAAAGCUGGAAAUAUCCCAAAAGUGAAUGGACAAAUGGGGGUACGUAGCUGCACCAGAGAACACUACUUGGCAAUACAAAGAACUGUGGAAAUACAAAAUCCCUCCAGGAUGCCCACAUGUAUAUGACAUUCUAGAAUAAGUCCAAUUGGGUUCCAGUGAUAGAAGCAUGAGCUUGGGGUCUGAGGGGGGU